UAAGGAAUAUUGCGCAAUGGGCGAAAGCCUGACGCAGCGACGCCGCGUGGGGGAUGAAGGUCUUCGGAUUGUAAACCCCUUUCGGGAGGGAAGAUGGAAUGGGGUAACCCAUUCGGACGGUACCUCCAGAAGCAGCCACGGCUAACUUCGUGCCAGCAGCCGCGGUAAUACGAAGGUGGCAAGCGUUAUUCGGAUUUACUGGGCGUACAGGGAGCGUAGGCGGUUUGGUAAGCCCUCUGUGAAAUCUCCAGGCUUAACCUGGAAAAGUCGGAGGGGACUGCUGGGCUAGAGGACGGGAGAGGAGCGCGGAAUUCCCGGUGUAGCGGUGAAAUGCGUAGAGAUCGGGAGGAAGGCCGGUGGCGAAGGCGGCGCUCUGGAACGUUUCUGACGCUGAGGCUCGAAAGCGUGGGGAGCAAACAGGAUUAGAUACCCUGGUAGUCCACGCCUUAAACUAUGAAUACUAAGUGUCGGCAGUUUACUGCCGGUGCCGCAGCUAACGCAUUAAGUAUUCCGCCUGGGAAGUACGGCCGCAAGGUUG
rnacentral:rRNA from 1 species